GGGCGCGUAACUCAGUGGUUAGAGUGCCAUCUUCACACGGUGGAAGUCGCGAGUUCAACUCUCGCCGCGCCCA
rnacentral:tRNA from 1 species